UAGGGAAUCUUCGGCAAUGGGGGCAACCCUGACCGAGCAACGCCGCGUGAGUGAAGAAGGUUUUCGGAUCGUAAAGCUCUGUUGUAAGUCAAGAACGAGUGUGAGAGUGGAAAGUUCACACUGUGACGGUAGCUUACCAGAAAGGGACGGCUAACUACGUGCCAGCAGCCGCGGUAAUACGUAGGUCCCGAGCGUUGUCCGGAUUUAUUGGGCGUAAAGCGAGCGCAGGCGGUUUGAUAAGUCUGAAGUUAAAGGCUGUGGCUCAACCAUAGUUCGCUUUGGAAACUGUCGAACUUGAGUGCAGAAGGGGAGAGUGGAAUUCCAUGUGUAGCGGUGAAAUGCGUAGAUAUAUGGAGGAACACCGGUGGCGAAAGCGGCUCUCUGGUCUGUAACUGACGCUGAGGCUCGAAAGCGUGGGGAGCGAACAGGAUUAGAUACCCUGGUAGUCCACGCCGUAAACGAUGAGUGCUAGGUGUUGGAUCCUUUCCGGGAUUCAGUGCCGCAGCUAACGCAUUAAGCACUCCGCCUGGGGAGUACGACCGCAAGGUU
rnacentral:rRNA from 1 species